AGGAGGAUAGGCUAAUAACAGUUUCACUUGCAAGCAAGAUGGUUGAAUCUGCUAAGUUUCAGGCUAUCCAGGCGCGCUUUUAUGAGGGGAAAGAACCGAUUCAGUUCUUUGUGAUUAUCAAUCAGUGCGGGAGUGAUGUCGUUGUGGUGCUUUUGAACCUAUUAUUAGAAUGCAUCAGUCAAACUCGUCUUCAGUCUAGUGGCGUUGUACUCCCAUUUCAACAAACUGUAAAUGAUCUAGUUGUGAAUGAUAUUAUAAUUGUGAUGCUUUUGUGAAUAUAUAAUUGUGGUGCUUUUGUGUUUA